rnacentral:rRNA from 1 species
GAUUCGCCCGCCGCGCCCCGCGCCCGUCCCGCCGCCCCCGCCCGCUCCUACGGGAGGCAGCAGUGAGGAAUAUUGGUCAAUGGGCUUACGCCUGAACCAGCCAAGUCGCGUGAGGGAAGACUGCCCUAUGGGUUGUAAACCUCUUUUGUCAGGGAGCAAUUGGCGCUACGUGUAGCGUUAUCGAGAGUACCUGAAGAAAAAGCAUCGGCUAACUCCGUGCCAGCAGCCGCGGUAAUACA